UAAACGGUUCUUUUCAGAACCACAAUUUAUUUGACGGAGAUACUC
rfam:Atta cephalotes unplaced genomic scaffold scaffold00027, whole genome shotgun sequence.